AAAUAUUCCUUGACACGGUUAAAGGAAUCUACAUUCAUUUGACACGCCAUAGGAACCAAUAAUUAUCAAUGUCAUUAAGAAUAUAUUGAUCAUUUUAUUCUGUAGGCUGCCGCUGAGGUGGUUUGUGAGAGACUAAAUGAAACACAUGCGUUUCAGUUGCUGCAUUAAGAUCCUGUGUGUGAUUUGAAAUUUUGAAAGGUCGAGCAUUUCAUUUUGGAAGAGGCAAUUUUUUUCAUGCUAGGUUAGGGUUGAGAGAGAACGAGAGAGAAAAAAAAAGGAGAACUUCAUUGCUGCCACCGAAGGUUGGACGUGAUCGGAAAAGUUUGUACCAGCGAAGUUGAAGUCGAAGGCAAAGUUCGACGUGAUCGAUGUGGAGUGUGGAAGGAGUUAGAUAUGACAAAUGUUCGUGAACUUGAAGAUUUUGUAAUUAAUGAAUGCAUGUAUGCGGUUCAAUUCUAUUCUCUGGCCGAGGAUCUGAUGCAACUAAUCACACUAUAAUCUUGGAGCUUGAAUCGCAAGCUUAGACAGAGUAUGAGACUGCAGUUACUAGAAGAUGACAAAUCCUUGCCUUCCACCUGACACAUCACGACAAUGGUUCCUAGAAUUUGUAGUAUUGAUAAAGCACACCAUCCUACUUUGUUUUCCAUUUCCAAGUCUAGCACACUUUUAACUGUGGAAGCCUAAAAUAAAAGUUUUCAAGUGUUGGUAUCAUUGAGAAAAUAACACUUCAAAGAAGAUUAUAAGAGACAUCGAACUGUUUAAAGUAUAUAUGGAGGUUCCAUUGAAGUUUAA